rnacentral:rRNA from 1 species
AGAGUUUGAUCUUGGCUCAGGAUGAACGCUGGCGGCGUGCCUAAUACAUGCAAGUCGAGCGAACAGAUGAGAAGCUUGCUUCUCUGAUGUUAGCGGCGGACGGGUGAGUAACACGUGGGUAACCUACCUAUAAGACUGGGAUAACUCCGGGAAACCGGGGCUAAUACCGGAUAAUAUAUUGAACCGCAUGGUCCAAUGUUGAAAGACGGUUUCGGCUGUCACUUAUAGAUGGACCCGCGCCGUAUUAGCUAGUUGGUAAGGUAACGGCUUACCAAGGCAACGAUACGUAGCCGACCUGAGAGGGUGAUCGGCCACACUGGAACUGAGACACGGUCCAGACUCCUACGGGAGGCAGCAGUAGGGAAUCUUCCGCAAUGGGCGAAAGCCUGACGGAGCAACGCCGCGUGAGUGAUGAAGGUCUUAGGAUCGUAAAACUCUGUUGUUAGGGAAGAACAAAUUUGUUAGUAACUGAACAAGUCUUGACGGUACCUAACCAGAAAGCCACGGCUAACUACGUGCCAGCAGCCGCGGUAAUACGUAGGUGGCAAGCGUUAUCCGGAAUUAUUGGGCGUAAAGCGCGCGUAGGCGGUUUCUUAAGUCUGAUGUGAAAGCCCACGGCUCAACCGUGGAGGGUCAUUGGAAACUGGGGAACUUGAGUGCAGAAGAGGAGAGUGGAAUUCCAUGUGUAGCGGUGAAAUGCGCAGAGAUAUGGAGGAACACCAGUGGCGAAGGCGGCUCUCUGGUCUGUAACUGACGCUGAUGUGCGAAAGCGUGGGGAUCAAACAGGAUUAGAUACCCUGGUAGUCC